GAACACCGAAGUCAAGCAUCAUUGGGCGCGGUCAGUACUUGGGUGGGUGACCACCUGGGAACACUGCGUGACGU